rnacentral:rRNA from 1 species
GAUGAACGCUGGCGGCGUGCCUAAUACAUGCAAGUCGAACGAACAGACGCGGAGCUUGCUCUGCUGACGUUGGCGGCGGACGGGUGAGUAACACGUGGAUAACCUACCUAUAAGACUUGGAUACCGUCGAGAGACCGGAACACAGACUGGGUAAUAUAUUGGACUGCACUGUUCAAGAGAAAAAGACGGGUUUGCGGUCACUUAUAGAUGGUACCGGGACGGAUUAGCUAGUUGGGCAGGUUACGGCCUACACGGGCAACGAGACGUAUCCGAUCUGCGCGGGUGAUCGGCCACCUGGGAGGUGAGACACGCUCCAGGCGCCUAAGGGAGGCAGCAGUCGGCAAUCGUACGCAAUGGGCGAGAGCUUGACGGAGCAACGCCGCGUCAGUGACGACGGCCUCCCGAUCGUAAAACUCUCUUACGAGGUAAGAACAACUGUGUGUGUAACUAAGCACGUAUUGACGGUACCUAAACAGAAAGCCACGGCUAACUACGUG